rnacentral:tRNA from 1 species
AGUUUUAUAUUCAAUAAUGAAUUUAAAUUGCAAAUUUAAAAGUAUAUUUUAUAUAUUAAGACUU